rnacentral:rRNA from 1 species
UUGACGGGGCCCGCACAAGCGGUGGAGCAUGUGGUUUAAUUCGACGCAACGCGAAGAACCUUUACCUGGACUUGACAUCUGAGGAAUCUCUAUGAAAGUAGGGAGUGCCCUUCGGGGAGCCUCAAGACAGGUGCUGCAUGGCUGUCGUCAGCUCGUGUCGUGAGAUGUUGGGUUAAGUCCCGCAACGAGCGCAACCCUUAUCCCCAGUUGCCAUCAGGUAAAGCUGGGAACUCUGGGGAGACUGCCGGUGAUAAACCGGAGGAAGGCGGGGAUGACGUCAAGUCCUCAUGGCCCUUACAUCCCGGGCUACACACGUGCUACAAUGGCAGGUACAGAGGGCUGCGAAGCCGCGAGGUGGAGCGAAUCCCAGAAAACCUGUCUCAGUCCGGAUUGAAGUCUGCAACUCGACUUCAUGAAGGCGGAAUCGCUAGUAACCGCGAAUCAGCAGGUCGCGGUGAAUACGUUCCCGGGCCUU